ensembl:lncRNA
GCAGGAAAACACAACACUGGGUGGCGCUGUUCCCACAGCUGUGCGACUGAACGACGAGCUACUCGCCAGUCAUCAAGCGGAUAGAAGGCUAGCCAGUAUUAUCAAGUCAGCUACGUCAGCAGAAAUUAUCCAGGCGAGACGACAUUUUUGCAUGCCAUGGCGAGAGUGUUGAAAACACCAAUUAUAUGUGGGGGUAAUUAAUGGACUAGAGGCCAUCACUCGCAGGAAGACCAGCAGAGCAUGAAGGCUCAGAAGAGUGCUCUGAUAACUACACACUGAGAGACACAUUGCCAUGCUGAGCAACUUUUCUAUUCACAACAGAAAUUUUGGUUGGAUAACAAGCCCCCAGAAUUAAAGUAGGUUAUUAAGAUGCAGG